rnacentral:rRNA from 1 species
GCGCCUUGCCAGCCCGCUACAGAAACUUAAAGGAAGUUGACGGGGCCCGCACAAGCGGUGGAGUAUGUGGUUUAAUUCGAUGCAACGCGAAGAACCUUACCUGGUCUUGACAUCCCGGAGACCCUUAGGAAACUAGGGGUGCUUCCAUCUGGAAGAAUCUGGAGACAGGUGCUGCAUGGCUGUCGUCAGCUCGUGUCGUGAGAUGUUGGGUUAAGUCCCGCAACGAGCGCAACCCUUGCCUUUAGUUGCCAGCAGUUCGGCUGGGCACUCUAAAGGGACUGCCGGUGUUAAACCGGAGGAAGGUGGGGAUGACGUCAAGUCCUCAUGGCCUUUAUGACCAGGGCUACACACGUACUACAAUGGCCGAUACAAAGGGCAGCGACACUGCGAGGUGAAGCCAAUCCCGUAAAAUCGGUCUCAGUCCGGAUUGGAGUCUGCAACUCGACUCCAUGAAGUUGGAAUCGCUAGUAAUCGUGGAUCAGCAUGCCACGGUGAAUACGUUCCCGGGCCUU